rnacentral:pre_miRNA from 1 species
CAUAUACUCCCUCCAUCCCAAAAUUCUUGUCUUAGAUUUGUCUAGAUACGGAUGUAUCAAGUCACAUUUAGAUACAUCUGUAUCUAGACAAAUCUAAGACAAGAAUUUUGCGACGGAGGGAGUAUCUA